rnacentral:rRNA from 1 species
CAGCCGUAAACUAUGCGCGUUAGGUGUAUCGGUGACCACGAGUUACCGAGGUGCCGAAGGGAAACCGUGAAACGUGCCGCCUGGGAAGUACGGUCGCAAGGCUGAAACUUAAAGGAAUUGGCGGGGGAGCACCACAACAGGUGGAGCCUGCGGUUUAAUUGGACUCAACGCCGGGAAGCUCACCGGAUAGGACAGCAGAAUGAUUGCCGGGCUGAAGACCCUGCAUGACUAGCUGAGAGGAGGUGCAUGGCGUAGACGUC